AUUGAACGCUGGCGGCAGGCUUAACACAUGCAAGUCGAGCGGGGGAAGGUAGCUUGCUACCUAACCUAGCGGCGGACGGGUGAGUAAUGCUUAGGAAUCUGCCUAUUAAUGGGGGACAACAUUCCGAAAGGAAUGCUAAUACCGCAUACGCCCUACGGGGGAAAGCAGGGGAUCUUCGGACCUUGCGCUAAUAGAUGAGCCUAAGUCGGAUUAGCUAGUUGGUGGGGUAAAGGCCUACCAAGGCGACGAUCUGUAGCGGGUCUGAGAGGAUGAUCCGCCACACUGGGACUGAGACACGGCCCAGACUCCUACGGGAGGCAGCAGUGGGGAAUAUUGGACAAUGGGCGGAAGCCUGAUCCAGCCAUGCCGCGUGUGUGAAGAAGGCCUUUUGGUUGUAAAGCACUUUAAGCGAGGAGGAGGCUACCUGGAUUAAUACUCUAGGAUAGUGGACGUUACUCGCAGAAUAAGCACCGGCUAACUCUGUGCCAGCCGCCGCCGUAAGAC
rnacentral:rRNA from 1 species